AGCAGCCAGAGGGGAAGGAGUCUCCAAGUAGGAUGUGCCUAGUGGUGUUGCAACUGCCUGCCCUCCUUGUUUGAUGUCACUUGAACAGCUGUGACUGGCUGUGGUUACAAUGGAUCUAAGUUCUUGUCAGCUGGCAGGCUUUAAAAGGAAGGAAUUCUACCUGAUCAACACAUCGAAGAGCUACUCAACACAGCUCAAAGACUCUUUCAUGGACCCAGACGGACAGCCUUCCAUCUUCAGCUCCCCCAGGACAGUUUUC